rnacentral:rRNA from 1 species
AAUGGGCGAAAGCCUGAUGCAGCAACGCCGCGUGAGCGAUGAAAGCCUUCGGGUCGUAAAGCUCUGUCCUCAAGGAAGAUAAUGACGGUACUUGAGGAGGAAGCCCCGGCUAACUACGUGCCAGCAGCCGCGGUACUACGUAGGGGGCUAGCGUUAUCCGGAAUUACUGGGCGUAAAGGGUGCGUAGGUGGUUUUUUAAGUCNGANGUGAAAGGCUACGGCUCAAGCGUAGUAAGCUUUUGAAACUAGAGAACUUGAGUGCAGGAGAGGAGAGUAGAAUUCCUAGUGUAGCGGUGAAAUGCGUAGAUAUUAGGAGGAACACCAGUGGCGAAGGCGACUUUCUGGACUGUAACUGACGCUGAGGCUCGAAAGCGUGGGGAGCAAA